CUGCUUCAUAUGAAACACCUACGACGACAUCGACAUGUUUCAGUCCUGCUUCAUAUGAAACACCUACGACGACGUCGACAUGUUUCAGUCCUGCUUCAAUACAUUUUGGAUGGAUGGCCUUUGGACAACAGUUGCCAGUGGUAGUAUGAUAGUGAUAUUUGGGUAGCGAUGGCAGAACAUAUCAUGGUCAGUUGAAAAUAUUCAUCGUGAAAUAAAAAAUAAGAAGAAGAUAUCUCUUACCUGCUAUAACCUGUUGAGUUGCUUGGGUGAAUACAGGCUGCUUGGUAGUGAUGAUCUCAGGCCACUGGUCAACAUCAUCAGUAACAAUGGGAAUGUCCCGAGGUUGCUCCUCAGGUUCUGACUCUAUCUUCUUGGGUCCCUUGACCCCUCUUUUACCAUCCUGUCUGCCCAGCUCCCGGUCACCUUCCUGGGCCUUGAACAAGGCGCUGUAGGGCAGGUCCUGGAGAAGUAGCUCCACAUUGAUGGUUGGAGCCCGGCACGGGGCAUUGGCAGGCUGCUGUAAGCCCAGUGGAGGUGCUUUCCCCUGGGGCUGGAGGGCUGGGAAGUCAGCCAUCAGGUCAUAAAGCUCCUGUUGGGUUGUUGAUGGAGAUGAAGCUAGGGCCUUGGUUGGGUCUGUAAUCCUGAUGGCUGGGACCUUGGCUGGGGCUGGAGUUGAAGAACGGGCUGUGGCUGUGACCUGGAUGACUGGGACCUUGGCUGGAGUUGGGACUGGGACAGGAGUUGAGGCUGGACCUGAAGCUGAGGCCUUGAUACAGGCAGGUACUUUGCCCAGAAGGUUGAAGGGGCCAGGGAUGGGGAUGAGAGGCUUGGGGAGGUUGGCAGGCGGAGAGCCCUGCCACAGCCUGUCACCUUGCCAUGGAGACGCGGCGUUCGGCAGAGGGGGAAAGUCGUCUUCGCUGGGGGCCAGGUUGGGGGCCAGGUUGGGGAGCAGGUUGGGGAGCAGGUUGGGGGCCAGGUUGGGGGCCAGGUUGGGGGCCAGGUCGGGGGCCAGGUCGGGGGCCAGGUUGGGGAGCAGGCUGGGGGCCAGGUUGGGGGCCAGGUUGGGGAGCAGGGAUGAGAGAUCAGGGAGCAAGUCAGGAACUAAAUGGGAGAGGUUAGCACCGAGGUCAGGGUUCAGCAGGAUGGAGUCCAACAGGUAAGGGUUAGGAAUAUGGAGAGGUUCCACCAUGAUGGAACUGUCCUCCCCUCUACCCUCCUGCCCUGGGAUCAGGAGGCCCCUGAGGUACUUGGCAAUGUCCCUCCUUUGCUCCUCCUCUGGGUUCACCUAGUAUUGGUAAAAUAGAAUAACAUGGUUUACCCUUUCAGAUUGCUUUUUUGUUGUUGUCCAGCACUAGGCUUAAAUGGGUCCAGGAAACCACCCCUUUAGUGGCCUAUCUGAUGAUCAAACCCAUUAUCUCUGGUGUAGUAAAAUUCUAACCUUUUCCUCCUCCUUCUUCUUCUCCACCUGUGUCUCCCAUAUGGGGUCAUCGCCAUGGGAACAGUCGUCACACCGGACAUCGUCAGGGCGCUGAGAGGAGACGGAGAGGUCAUGUCGAUCUUUCUCUGUCUGUGACGUCAAAGUCUGGAACUCCCUCUCCACCAUCAGAGAGAUCUCAUCCAGCCUAUUCAGAGAGCGAG
rnacentral:lncRNA from 1 species